rnacentral:rRNA from 1 species
AUAUUAUUAGGCGGAGGAGAAGAAACUAACAAGGAUUCCCCUAGUAACGGCGAGUGAAGCGGGAAGAGCUCAACCCGAAAAUCGGUGCUCCUAGCGGGGUUCCGAAUUGUGGGCUAGAGACGCACUAUCAGCGAGCGACCCGGGCCUAAAUCUUUUGGAACAAGGUAUCAUAGAGGGUGAGAAUCCCGUCUUUGACUCAGAGUUCGCCGCGUACGACAUGCAUUCGAAGAGUCGGUUUGCUUGGGAAUGCAAACCAAAAUGGGUGGUAAAUUUCAUCUAAAGCUAAAUAUCAGCGAGAGACCGAUAGCGCACAAGUA